rnacentral:tRNA from 2 species
AGAAAUCUUUUAUAAAAGUGUUUUGUAACCAUUUUUAGGUUUGUUAAACCAAUUUCUU